AAAAGUGCUUAUAGUGCAGGUAGGUCGUGUAACUACUGCCCUGUGAGCACUUCCAAC
rnacentral:pre_miRNA from 1 species